UACAGGUAUGCGCGGGAAACUUCUCAGGUCGUCCGUAAGGAUGGCAGCCCCAAGUGGGUGGGAUCCUGAGACCCGGGACCUGUAAAUUA
rnacentral:ncRNA from 1 species